CUUGACCGUGUGCAACUGAGCUCCAGGCACUGUAAACAUCCUACACUCAGCUGUAACAUAAAAGAGGCUGAGAGAAGGUUGUUUACUUUAACUGGCUUGGAACAGCAACUUUUUAAAAU
rnacentral:precursor_RNA from 17 species